AAUGAACUCGUAAAAAUUUUUCGAUACGUUCAAACUCAUACUAGGGUUAUGCUAGUCUAUACAUUUGAAUCGCAUUUUAUGAGUAUCUACUGUAGUAUGCGACAGGUCAUGAUGGUAUCGGGGUAUGAGGCGGGGCGUCCCCAAUCCGAUUGCCAUCUCGACCUGUCGCGAGCCAUAUAUGUAUACAGGCUGUUUGGUAAUUAG